AGUGAACGCUGGCGGUAGGCCUAACACAUGCAAGUCGAACGGCAGCACAGUAAGAGCUUGCUCUUACGGGUGGCGAGUGGCGGACGGGUGAGGCAUACAUCGGAAUCUACUUUUUCGUGGGGGAUAACGUAGGGAAACUUACGCUAAUACCGCAUACGACCUACGGGUGAAAGCAGGGGAUCUUCGGACCUUGCGCGAUUGAAUGAGCCGAUGUCGGAUUAGCUAGUUGGCGGGGUAAAGGCCCACCAAGGCGACGAUCCGUAGCUGGUCUGAGAGGAUGAUCAGCCACACUGGAACUGAGACACGGUCCAGACUCCUACGGGAGGCAGCAGUAGGGAAUAUUGGGCAAUGGGCGCAAGCCUGAUCCAGCCAUACCGCGUGGGUGAAGAAGGCCUUCGGGUUGUAAAGCCCUUUUGUUGGGAAAGAAAAGCAGCAGGUUAAUACCCCGCUGUUCUGACGGUACCCAAAGAAUAAGCACCGGCUAACUUCGUG
rnacentral:rRNA from 1 species